UGACAAGUUUCCUUCCCCUGCAUUUUCGAUCGCACAUGUAAAUAGCACGUUGGUCUCAAAUAAGACACUGAUACAUUACAACACUUGCCGUCAGUAUAUGAAAAUAUUAAUUAAGAAGGUAUAGAAAAUUAAUGCACGCACACUAUUAUCCUUCACAGGCCUAAAUCGUUAGUCCGCAAACAACGAGGGUGAUAAAAAAAAAC
rnacentral:lncRNA from 1 species